rnacentral:sRNA from 1 species
AAUUGGAAAGUGCCGUCGGCAUAUCGCCCCCAGCCGAUGGCGCCUUCCAGGGGACGAGUGAAAACUCGUCCCCAUCUCUACCUUCCGGCAGGAGCAAGCCCCCCUCCGCCGAAAGGUUCGGCGGGCGGUGAAGUUUCCCCCAGCUUCACCGCCCGUUUCA